CUCACAAAGAACUCUAAAGCCUAAAGAACUUUCGCAAUAUGAAAUUAUUUCAAGUUAUUGUUGCAGUUUCCUGCAUUAUUGCCUUUGCCAUGGCAGCUCCUGGUAAUAACAUAAUUAAAGGAGAUAAUAAUUCUAAUAAUAAACAGGAGAAUAAUGAUGUCGGCAUUAAAUUAUUCCAAUAAUUUAUAGAUAAUUUAUACAAUGGUAUGGUUGUUUAAAUGAUAUUGCUAAUAAAUGGCAAAAUGAUAUCUGAA